rnacentral:rRNA from 1 species
CAGCAGCCGCGGUAAUUCCAGCUCCAACAGUGUAUGCUAAAGUUGUUGCGGUUGAAAAGCUCGUAGUUGGAUCUUGGGCGGGCGCGGUCGGUCCGUCGCAGGGCGUGCACUGGUCGCGUCCGCCUCGCCUUCGGUUCUUCGUCGGUGCUCUUGACUGAGUGUCGGCGGUGGCCGAGAAGUUUACUUUGAAAAAAUUAGAGUGUUCAAAGCAGGCUGUUCGCCUGUAUAGUGUUGCAUGGAAUAAUGGAAUAGGACCUCGGUUCUAUUUUGUUGGUUUUCGGAGCGUGAGGUAAUGAUUAAGAGGGACAGACGGGGGCGUCCGUACUCUGCCGUUAGAGGUGAAAUUCUUGGAUCGGCGGAAGACGAACUACUGCGAAAGCAUUCGCCAAGAAUGUUUUCUUUAAUCAAGAGCGAAAGUCAGAGGUUCGAAGACGAUCAGAUACCGUCCUAGUUCUGACUAUAAACGAUGCCAACUAGCGAUCGGGAGGCGUUACCAUGACGACCUUCCCGGCAGCUUCCGGGAAACCAAAGUCUUUGGGUUCCGGGGGAAGUAUGGUUGCAAAGCUGAAACUUAAAGGAAUUGACGGAAGGGCACCACCAGGAGUGGAGCCUGCGGCUUAAUUUGACUCAACACGGGGAAACUCACCCGGCCCGGACACAGGUAGGAUUGACAGAUUGAGAGCUCUUUCUUGAUUCUGUGGGUGGUGGUGCAUGGCCGUUCUUAGUUGGUGGAGCGAUUUGUCUGGUUAAUUCCGAUAACGAACGAGACUCUGGCAUGCUAAAUAGUUACGCGACCUUCUCGGUCGGCGUCUAACUUCUUAGAGGGACUAGUGGCGUUUAGCCACACGAGAUUGAGCAAUAACAGGUCUGUGAUGCCCUUAGAUGUUCGGGGCGCACGCGCGCUACACUGAAUGAAUCAGCGAGUGUCUGUCCUAGGCCGAAAGGUCCGGGUAACCCGUUGAACCUCAUUCGUGAUUGGGAUAGGGACUUGCAAUUGUUUCCCUUGAACGAGGAAUUCCCAGUAAGCGCAAGUCAUCAGCUUGCGUUGAUUACGUCCCUGCCCUUU